AAAAUUUUUUGUUUUUUGAAAUAGUCCCUAUACCCACUUUCUUGAUGAUUUGUCCAAUUUUUGCCUAUGUGGCAAUUGUUGAUUGUUUAAUUGUGUACACGUGGCACAGACAUGAUUGCUAUAUUUUAAAUAUUUAAAAACAUUUUCAAAAAUCAGAAUAAUUAUUUUUGAAAUAAAAAAUAUAUAUUUACAUUAAAAAUAAAACAUUUAUUUUUUUGAAAGAAUCUCUCCUUCAUAUCUGUUAAUUAAUUUGUUGAUUUCAUCAGAUCUCUCCAUCAUCUUUUCUCCACACAAAGUGUUCAUCUUUUCUCCUUGUAACCACUAUAUUCCUCUCUUUCUGACCACCAUAUUCCUGAAAUAACACUAAAAUUUUAACAGUAUUAAUGUAGAGUUCAUUCAACAGCGACUAGUCUUCAGUAACAUCAAAUUUGUGUUCAUCUUCUUAAUCGUGGUUGUUCUUCUUCUUAUUCCCCCUGUUCAUCUUCUUCAAACCCAAAUGGGUUGUUUUCCCAUUUCAACAAUAUUUCUCAUUGAUUUUUUUGUUUCUACUGAAAAAGCAGUGCCAAACCCAAUCCUGAAUUCAGAAAUUCAUCAUGAACUUCAUCCCAAACCCCAAAAUCAUAAUAGGGGAAAACUUCUAGGGUUUUAGAUUUUUCCCUUUUCUUCCUCUUUUUCGAUGCAGAUCUUCAAUUCAUCCUCAAUCUUGCGUUUUUCAGAAUUUUGAUUUUGAUUUCAACCUCUUUGAACUUCAUCUUCUUUUCCGAUUUCGACCAACACUGUGUUUCCAGACUUUUGAUUUGGAUGAAUUUGAGAACAUGAAUGAUUUUGAUUUGAAGAAGAUGAAUUUCGUUUUCUAGAAUCUUAAUUUAAAGAAGAUGAAUUGAUGAAGGUUUGAAUGGCUGGCGAAGAAGAGGAAAGCAGAAAGAUCUGCGAAGAAGAAGAGGAGGGUGAAGUAGAAGGGAUAUGUUGUUUUUAAUAAAUUAAAAUAAACAUUUUUUAUUCCAUAAAUAUAUUUUCUGAUUUUUUUAAAAGUUAAAAUAAAAUAAUUGUCACAUGUACUUGAUUGUACAGUCAUCAACUGUCACCUAGACCAAAAUGUGCC
rnacentral:lncRNA from 1 species